rnacentral:rRNA from 1 species
AUAGACCCGAAACCCGGUGAUCUAGCCAUGGGCAGGUUGAAGGUUGGGUAACACUAACUGGAGGACCGAACCGACUAAUGUUGAAAAAUUAGCGGAUGACUUGUGGCUGGGGGGGAAAGGCCAAUCAAACCGGGAGAUAGCUGGUUCUCCCCGAAAGCUAUUUAGGUAGCGCCUCGUGAAUUCAUCUCCGGGGGUAGAGCACUGUUUCGGCAAGGGGGUCAUCCCGACUUACCAACCCGAUGCAAACUGCGAAUACCGGAGAAUGUUAUCACGGGAGACACACGGCGGGUGCUAACGUCCGUCGUGAAGAGGGAAACAACCCAGACCGCCAGCUAAGGUCCCAAAGUCAUGGUUAAGUGGGAAACGAUGUGGGAAGGCCCAGACAGCCAGG